UGCAGAAGUGGCGGAAUUGGCAGACGCGCACGGUUCAGGUCCGUGUGGUAGUAAUACCUUGUGGGUUCGACUCCCAUCUUCUGCAG
rnacentral:tRNA from 3 species